rnacentral:rRNA from 1 species
GACGAACGCUGGCGGCGUGCUUAACACAUGCAAGUCGAACGGAAAGGCGCUGCUUUUGUGGGGUGCUCGAGUGGCGAACGGGUGAGUAACAUGUGAGUAACCUGCCCUUGACUCUGGGAUAACUUCAGGAAACUGGGGCUAAUACCGGAUAGGAGCUCCUGCUGCAUGGUGGGGGUUGGAAAGUGUCGGCGGUUGGGGAUGGACUCGCGGCUUAUCAGCUUGUUGGUGGGGUAGUGGCUUACCAAGGCUUUGACGGGUAGCCGGCCUGAGAGGGUGAGCGGCCCCAUUGAGACUGAGAUACGGCCCAGACUCCUAGAGGAGGCAGCAGUGGGGAAUAUUGCACAAUGGGCGGGAGCCGGAUGCGGCAGCGCCGCGUGCGGGAUGACCGCCUUCGGGUUGUGAACCGCUUUCGCCUGUGACGAAGCGUGAGUGACGGUAAUGGGUAAAGAAGCGCCGGCUAACUACGUG